rnacentral:rRNA from 1 species
GACGAACGCUGGCGGCGUGCUUAACACAUGCAAGUCGAACGGUAAAGCCUUGCUUGCUUGGUGUGUUCGUGUCGCACGGGUGUGUAAUACGUGAGUAACCUACCUUUAACUCUUGGAUAAGCCCGGAAAAAUGUGUCUAAUACCGUAUACGACCACUCUCCGCAGGUGGUUGGGGUGGAAAGCUUUAUGUGGUGGUUAUGGGUGGGCUCCCGGCCUAUCAGCUGGUUGGUGGGGUCACGGCUCACCAAGGCGACGACGGGUAGCCGGCCUGAGGGGGUGACCGGCCACACUGGGACUGAGACACGGCCCAGACUCCUACGGGAGGCAGCAGUGGGGAAUAUUGCACAAUGGGCGGAAGCCUGAGGCAGCAACGCCGCGUGCGGGAUGACGGCCUUCGGGUGGUAAACCUCUGUCGCCGGGGACGAAGAGUGAGUGACGGUACCUGGAGAGAAAGCACCGGCUAACUACGUG